rnacentral:rRNA from 1 species
GAUGAACGCUGGCGGCGUGCCUAAUACAUGCAAGUCGAGCGAACGGACGAGAAGCUUGCUUUUCUGAUGUUAGCGGCGGACGGGUGAGUAAUACGUGGAUAACCUACCUAUAAGACUGGGAUAACUUCGGGAAACCGGAGCUAAUACCGGAUAAUAUUUUGAACCGCAUGGUUCAAAAGUGAAAGACGGUCUUGCUGUCACUUAUAGAUGGAUCCGCGCUGCAUUAGCUAGUUGGUAAGGUAACGGCUUACCAAGGCAACGAUGCAUAGCCGACCUGAGAGGGUGAUCGGCCACACUGGAACUGAGACACGGUCCAGACUCCUACGGGAGGCAGCAGUAGGGAAUCUUCCGCAAUGGGCGAAAGCCUGACGGAGCAACGCCGCGUGAGUGAUGAAGGUCUUCGGAUCGUAAAACUCUGUUAUUAGGGAAGAACAUAUGUGUAAGUAACUGUGCACAUCUUGACGGUACCUAAUCAGAAAGCCACGGCUAACUACGUG